AGAGUUUGAUCAUGGCUCAGAUUGAACGCUGGCGGCAGGCCUAACACAUGCAAGUCGAGCGGUAGCACAGAGAGCUUGCUCUCGGGUGACGAGCGGCGGACGGGUGAGUAAUGUCUGGGAAACUGCCUGAUGGAGGGGGAUAACUACUGGAAACGGUAGCUAAUACCGCAUAAUGUCGCAAGACCAAAGUGGGGGACCUUCGGGCCUCAUGCCAUCAGAUGUGCCCAGAUGGGAUUAGCUAGUAGGUGGGGUAAUGGCUCACCUAGGCGACGAUCCCUAGCUGGUCUGAGAGGAUGACCAGCCACACUGGAACUGAGACACGGUCCAGACUCCUACGGGAGGCAGCAGUGGGGAAUAUUGCACAAUGGGCGCAAGCCUGAUGCAGCCAUGCCGCGUGUGUGAAGAAGGCCUUCGGGUUGUAAAGCACUUUCAGCGGGGAGGAAGGCGUUAAGGUUAAUAACCUUGGCGAUUGACGUUACCCGCAGAAGAAGCACCGGCUAACUCCGUGCCAGCAGCCGCGGUAAUACGGAGGGUGCAAGCGUUAAUCGGAAUUACUGGGCGUAAAGCGCACGCAGGCGGUCUGUCAAGUCGGAUGUGAAAUCCCCGGGCUCAACCUGGGAACUGCAUUCGAAACUGGCAGGCUAGAGUCUUGUAGAGGGGGGUAGAAUUCCAGGUGUAGCGGUGAAAUGCGUAGAGAUCUGGAGGAAUACCGGUGGCGAAGGCGGCCCCCUGGACAAAGACUGACGCUCAGGUGCGAAAGCGUGGGGAGCAAACAGGAUUAGAUACCCUGGUAGUCCACGCCGUAAACGAUGUCGAUUUGGAGGUUGUGCCCUUGAGGCGUGGCUUCCGGAGCUAACGCGUUAAAUCGACCGCCUGGGGAGUACGGCCGCAAGGUUAAAACUCAAAUGAAUUGACGGGGGCCCGCACAAGCGGUGGAGCAUGUGGUUUAAUUCGAUGCAACGCGAAGAACCUUACCUGGUCUUGACAUCCACAGAACUUUCCAGAGAUGGAUUGGUGCCUUCGGGAACUGUGAGACAGGUGCUGCAUGGCUGUCGUCAGCUCGUGUUGUGAAAUGUUGGGUUAAGUCCCGCAACGAGCGCAACCCUUAUCCUUUGUUGCCAGCGGUUCGGCCGGGAACUCAAAGGAGACUGCCAGUGAUAAACUGGAGGAAGGUGGGGAUGACGUCAAGUCAUCAUGGCCCUUACGACCAGGGCUACACACGUGCUACAAUGGCAUAUACAAAGAGAAGCGACCUCGCGAGAGCAAGCGGACCUCAUAAAGUAUGUCGUAGUCCGGAUUGGAGUCUGCAACUCGACUCCAUGAAGUCGGAAUCGCUAGUAAUCGUAGAUCAGAAUGCUACGGUGAAUACGUUCCCGGGCCUUGUACACACCGCCCGUCACACCAUGGGAGUGGGUUGCAAAAGAAGUAGGUAGCUUAACCUUCGGGAGGGCGCUUACCACUUUGUGAUUCAUGACUGGGGUGAAGUCGUAACAAGGUAACCGUAGGGGAACCUGCGGUUGGAUCACCU
rnacentral:rRNA from 2 species